rnacentral:sRNA from 1 species
CUCUAGCCCUGAUAGCAGUGAAAAUCCUUUUUAAAAUAGCUUUUAACCCUUUCAGGGUUUUGAACCCUGAAAGGGUUGCUAUUUAAAAAGAUUGUAACGGAUAGCAGGAAAAGCU